rnacentral:rRNA from 1 species
GCCCAGACUCCUACGGGAGGCAGCAGUGGGGAAUAUUGCACAAUGGGCGAAAGCCUGAUGCAGCAACGCCGCGUGAGCGAUGAAGGCCUUCGGGUCGUAAAGCUCUGUCCUCAAGGAAGAUAAUGACGGUACUUGAGGAGGAAGCCCCGGCUAACUACGUGCCAGCAGCCGCGGUAAUACGUAUGGUGCAAGCGUUAUCCGGAUUUACUGGGUGUAAAGGGAGCGCAGGCGGCGCGUUAAGCCUGGUGUGAAAGCCCGCGGCCCAGCCGCGGGACUGCAUUGGGAACUGGCGCGCUGGGGUGCCGGAGGGGUAGGCGGAAUUCCUAGUGUAGCGGUGAAAUGCGCAGAUAUUAGGAGGAACACCAGUGGCGAAGGCGGCCUACUGGACGGUGACUGACGCUGAGGCUCGAAAGCGUGGGGAGCAAACAGGAUUAGAUACCCCCGUAA